CAGGACACAACAUUACCAGCAUCUGGAAGCUCUGUUUAUGUUUCUUCCCAGACACUUCUCCCACUCCUAGGUGUCUGAACCAGAGCGUGCUGCCGUCAAGACAGAGAACGGGUCCUUGGGGCUCAUGCCACACCUCAGGGUCUCCAGGAAGUAGCCAGGAAGAGCAUAGAGAGCACUAGUGGAGCUUCCAGGAUGCCCUUUGUCAUCAGACAACCUCUCCAGAGGAGGCUGCUUUCCGGGGGUUUGCUCUUAUGAAUUCCUCUGGAGUGCUUUGGCAGGCAGCCAGUGUGCUAUGAGGGAUUAGAUUCUACUCCCUCUCUCCUACAUAAACCCCCCAGAGGAUUUCUCUCCUUAAAAGACUGGCUCCAGCCAGCAGGUCCAAUAAGUGGGCCUAUUUGUAAGUUGAAUAUCUUGGGAAUUAUGCUGUACAAAUAGGUCAUCGUUGAAUAACUAGUAUGUGCAAAUUGACUUCUUUCUUUGGGGCUGGUGGUGGGAAACCCUCAUGGUUUUCUCCAGGGGGCUUAUACCAUCAUAUAACAAUGUUCACAAGGGCACAAUACGUAUUUGAGUAGAAUGGAUCAUUUGUUUCAACGGGCACCUCAGUUUUAGUUAUAAAGUUAACUGAUCAUAUUCCAAAAGGGUGAUAUAACGUGUGCUCUUGAAAGGAAACUUUUUCUCUAUGUAAGCUAAGCAAGUAAAAGUUUCCAAUUUUAUUCUGCGUGAUUACAUAUUAUGAAAUCAAAAGGCUAACAGUUAUUUCUAUACAAAGCCAAUUUGUUAGUUCUUUGUAAAUACAGAUUUUUGGCAAGCUUUCAAAUAAAACACAUGUGCCAUUUUUCUUUAC